rnacentral:rRNA from 1 species
GGAAUAUUGGACAAUGGGGGCAACCCUGAUCCAGCGACGCCGCGUGGGUGAUGAAGGCCUUCGGGUUGUAAAGCCCUUUCACCGGGGACGAUGAUGAGGGUACCCGGAGAAGAAGCACCGGCUAACUCCGUGCCAGCAGCCGCGGUAAGCCGGAGGGUGCUAGCGUGGAUCGGAACCACUGGGCGUAAAGGGCGCGGAGGCGGCCUGGGAAGUCGGCUUGUGAAAGCCCGGGGCUCAACCCCGGAGGUGCGGCCGAUACUCCUAGGCUCGAGGCCGGAAGAGGAGGGUGGAAUACCCAGUGUAGAGGUGAAAUUCGUAGAUAUUGGGUGGAACACCGGUGGCGAAAGCGGCUCUCUGGUCCGGUCCUGACGCUGAGGCGCGAAAGCGUGGGGAGCAAA